rnacentral:rRNA from 1 species
UACGUAGGGGGCAAGCGUUGUCCGGAGUACUGGGCGUAAAGCGCACGCAGGCGGUCGAUUAAGUUUGGAGUGACAGUUGGUGGCUUAACUGCCAAAGUGCUUUGAAAACUGAUCGACUUGAGGGCUUCAGAGGGACACGGAAUCCGGGUGGAGUGGUGAAAUGCGCAGAUAUCAGGAGGAACACCAAUGGCGAAGGCAGCUCGCUGGGACGGUACUGACGCUGAGACGCGAAAGCGUGGGGAGCAAACAGG